UACAGAGGGUGCAAACGUUGCUCGGAAUUACUGGGCGUAAAGCGCGUGUAGGCGGGUCGGCAUGUCGGGUGUGAAAUCCCCAGGCUCAACCUGGGAACUGCAUUCGAAACUACCGGCCUUGAGUGGUGGAGAGGGAAGUGGAAUUCCUGGUGUAGAGGUGAAAUUCGUAGAUAUCAGGAGGAACACCAGUGGCGAAGGCGGCUUCCUGGACACCAACUGACGCUGAGACGCGAAAGCGUGGGGAGCAAACAGG
rnacentral:rRNA from 1 species